GGUUGAUCCUGCCAGUAGUCAUAUGCUUGUUUUAAAGAUUAAGCCAUGCAUGUGUAAGUAUAGAGCAUUCUAGCUUGAAACUGCGAACGGCUCAUUAAAUCAGUUAUAAUCUACUUGAUUGUAUUUUUACUAUUAGGAUACCCUUAGUAAUUCUAUGGCUAAUACUUGCAAAAACUCAUGACUAGAAAUGGAAAUGAGGUAUUUAUUAGGUCCAAAAUCAAUGGUUUUCUUUUCGGAGAGAAUCUUAUAAAAUGAUGAUUCAUAAUAACUAGACGAAGCGCAAAGUAAGCAA
rnacentral:rRNA from 1 species